rnacentral:rRNA from 1 species
CAACGCUGGCGGCAGGCCUACACAUGCAAGUCGUACGCUCCAGCAAUGGAGAGUGGCAGACGGUUGAGUAACACGUAGGUAAUCUACCUUCGGGUGGGGAAUAACCCAGGGAAACUUGGGCUAACACCGCAUAAUGCAGCGGCACCACAUGGUGACAGUUGUUAAAGCGGGGGAUUUUAGGACCUCGCGCCUGAAGAGGAGCCUGCGGCAGAUUAGCUAGUUGGUAAGGUAACGGCUUACCAAGGCGACGAUCUGUAACCGGCCUGAGAGGGCGGUCGGUCACACUGACACUGACAUACGGGUCAGACUCCUACGGGAGGCAGCAGUCGGGAAUUUUGGGCAAUGGGCGAAAGCCUGACCCAGCAACGCCGCGUGAAGGAUGAAAUCCCUCGGGAUGUAAACUUCGCAAGAUUGGGAAGAAUUAGUAGGGGUUAAUACCCCCUAUGAUGACGGUACCUUUUGUAAGCUCCGGCUAACUCCGUGCCAGCAGCCGCGGUAAUACGGGGGGAGCAAGCGUUGUUCGGAUUUACUGGGCGUAAAGGGCGCGUAGGCGGUCAGCACAAGUCAGUUGUGAAAUCUCCGGGGCUUAACUCGGAAAGGUCAACUGAUACUGUGCGACUAGAGUGCAGA